GGUUUUAAGAUUUAAAUUUAAAAUCGUACCUGCUCAAUGACAAAAGUUAAAUAGCCGCAGUAAUUUGACUGUGCAAAGGUAGCAUAAUAAUUUGUCUUUUAAUUAAAGACUGGAAUGAAUGGUUUGACGUGAAAACUUCUGUCUCAAUUUUUUUAUUUGAAAUUGACUUUUAAGUUAAAAGGCUUAAAUAAUAUUGAGGGACGAAAAGACCCUAUUAAGUUUUAUAAACAGUAAAAUUUAUUAUUCUGGAAAAGUUUUAUUUUUAUUUAACUGGGGCGGUUAAAAUAGUUUAUCUUUUUUUUAUUAAAUUUGAUUAAAUUAAUUUUUAUUUGAUCUAGUAUUACUAAUUAAAUGAUUAAAUUACUAUAGGGAUAACAGCAUAAUUUCUUUUUAAAGUUCUUAUUGAUAAAGAAGAUUGUGACCUCGAUGUUGGAUUAAAUUUUCCUUUUGGUGAAGAAGUUAAAAGGGUAAGUCUGUUCGACUUUUAAAAUUUU
rnacentral:rRNA from 1 species